rnacentral:rRNA from 1 species
UACGAAGGGGGCUAGCGUUGUUCGGAAUUACUGGGCGUAAAGCGCACGUAGGCGGAUAUUUAAGUCAGGGGUGAAAUCCCAGAGCUCAACUCUGGAACUGCCUUUGAUACUGGGUAUCUUGAGUAUGGAAGAGGUAAGUGGAAUUGCGAGUGUAGAGGUGAAAUUCGUAGAUAUUCGCAGGAACACCAGUGGCGAAGGCGGCUUACUGGUCCAUAACUGACGCUGAGGUGCGAAAGCGUGGGGAGCAACAGGG